CCUUCGAUAGCUCAGCUGGUAGAGCGGAGGACUGUAGUUGGUAUCCGUUAGCAAUCCUUAGGUUGCUGGUUCAAUUUCGGCUCGAAGGA
rnacentral:tRNA from 1 species